rnacentral:lncRNA from 1 species
AUAUCUCUAGUUUGUGUGCACAUUCUGUGUUUGUGUGUAAACAGGAAUGUAAAACGGACUUUAACCAUUUCUCUCCUAGUUAUCUUCUACCACUCUAUAGUGGACAUAUCAGGUUGUGAGCCAGUUUUGACCAUAAUAAAGAUGGCCGCCGUGGGGUUUGGUUCUGGCAGAUUUCCAUGAGUCAUACACAGUUAUAGAGCUGCAUGACCAGGCCUUGCGAAUGCAAUCGCGAGAGUAUGACGUCAUCCCCAACGAGCUCACAGUGCUAUAUAAGAGGAACACACGCCAUUUUCUUUCUCAUUGCUCGGCUGUCCUUGCUGGCAGGUGGUGAGUUGUGUUCUAUAUUUCUUUCGUAUUUUUUUUAAUUUGUUUUUUUACUUGCUGUCUGCCCAUUGGCACUGCAUUGUGUUAUUUGAUGUUUGCAGACAGGUUUGCGUCCAAAUUAUUUUCUAGUUAACGUUCAUGCUUUACACGUGUCCGUCAGGUUUUGUUCCUUAUAAUACAGCUCUCCGUCUUUGAAAGCACUUGGAGCUCUUCCUGUACCUGCUGUUGGCAAUGCCAUCUUCUGUCCACCUUUUGGAUAUUAAUUAUUUUAUAUAUAUAUAUAUAUAUAUAUAUAUAUAUAUAUUUUUUUAUAUAUAUAUAUAUAUAUAUAUAUAUAUAUAUAUAUAUAUAUAUAUAUAUAUAUAUAAUUAACCUGCAUUUGUGUAUACUGGGUAAGUAGUUAAACUGCUGAAGUGGUUAUGGUUCUUGAUCCAUGCUGCUGCUCUUAGUAACUGGCUACUUAUCGAUGUAAACUCAUGUUGUGCAGUGGUUUAGCAUUUCUUCCUGUCUGAAGCUCCCAGCAGGCCCGAUAUGCCGUGCAUUUCCCAGCCAUGGCAGCCCUUACUCUAAGCAUAAGAACUCUAGUGGACAUAGGGGGGUGGGGGAGUAUUGCAAAUAUCGCCCAAUCCAGGGAGUCCCCACUCCUUUCUGUCUGCUCUCACUAUUGCUACAAUAGGUUUUACAUGUCUUUUAUUUCAGCCUUCCAUGCAACUUGUGUCUCCUGUGCUUUAAUCUGCUACAGAUGUCUGUACAGUGACACAUACCCUUAAAGUAUGGCAUCAGGGGACUUGAGAUAAAAUAACCAGUGCAAUAGUUGUUCUUUUUAAAGGAUUACGCUAAGCACCCUGACCGCUUUUAGUGGUGAUUGGAGUCUUUGUGCAGCAUUUUUCUAUUAAAAGCAUUCCAAGGCAAAGCUCCAUGCUGUGGAGGUGUAACUACACCCCCCCAAUUUCUGGCUGCACAAGGAGUUGCUAUGUCAUCCAAAACUCAGCCAUACAAGUCUGGUGUAACUUGUAGUCUGUUUUUAUUUUUUUUAGGAUGAACAUGUGCAUUCAUAAUGGAUCAUCAGUCGUUCAGUGUGAAUUAAAUUAAUAGUGGUGGUUUUUUUUUUUUUUUUGUAUGUUGGAUGCCUUGUCUCUUGUAGGCACAACUCUGCAUGAGUGUGUCAGUUGUUACAAGGCAAAAUUAAAAGUACAGGUUUUGCUUCCAUCAUGCUAAAUAUUCUGUUGCAGUGAUGACAAUGAGACCUGUCACAUGUUCGUCUCUUGCAUAUUGACUUGUUAAUGUUUACCACAUAAUGACUUCAUUCAAUGAAUAUAAGCCUUAACUUCUCUCCUCAGGUUGAAAGUUUUGAAAUGUUUUUGGCUGAUUGUCAUAUACUCGUCUACUGGGACAGGGCUCCAUGAUGGGUAAGAUUAAUGUAAAACGAAUUUUAAAUAAAGCACUUAUGUCUUUGUACCUUUUGUGUUGGUACAGACUUAAAACUAGUGCUGAUAAUAAACCCUUCUCUUGCAACCCACAACAAAUUGUCUUGUAUGAGUUGUGUUACUUAUGGGAAGGGACAAUAUUUUAGCUUGUCUUAUUAUAACUCUUAACUGCUAUUGCAAUGAGACCUGUUGCUAGCUAGUCUCUAUGAACAUUAUCUUGCUAAUGAUUCCUCAAUGGCUUUUAUGGAAUGAGUUCAAACUUUAGCUUCUCUCCUCAGGUUGAAACAUUUGAAAUGCAUUUUGUCAGAAAAUGUACUCCUUUACUGGAAAAAGGCUCCAUGAUGGUAAAUAGUUUUCCUUUUUAAUUUUUAUUUUAAUGAAAAAUGCACUUGUGUCUCUGUACCUCAUUAUUGGUACAAACUUAAAAGAAGUGCUGAUAUUAAAACCUUCUCUUGCGACCCACAACAUUUUUGUCCUGUAUGAGUUGUGUUACUUAUGGGAAGGGACAACCUUUAGUUUGGCCAGUCAUCUAAAACUCUUAAUUUGAGAUUUCUAUAUGCCUUAAACAUUUUUUUUUUUUUUCCUCUUAGAUCCCAUCUGAAAUAUGUAUCUUAAAGAAGGUAUGUUGAUGAUUUAACUGUUCAGAAGUACAAAUGGAGGCAACAGAUCUCUAACAUAUUUUUAUUCUAUAGCAAUCACCAAUGUGUUGUAUUGAUGAUGCCCCUGCAGUCUGUCUGCUAUAUUGUCUAUUUAAGUGUUAAAUAACUUUGUUUAUGCAGGUGUAGACACUCCUACCCUGCAUGUAACCUCUAAAAUCAUUACAUCUCUUUACAGGAGAUGUUUAAACUUGCUAUAUAUUGCACAGUUGGCCUGCAUGAGCCUUGUCUGUAACUACAGUUAAAUUAACAGUGCAGGAUAGAAUAUAUCCUGUAUCUCUAAACAGUGCUGCAUAAACAAGUGACUUUAUCCUAAAUGAUAAAGAAUUGGUGUCCUUUAACACUUCUAGCAGUCAAUGUUCAUUUGUGUUGAUGAUUGGCAAUGUUCAACUGCUCUGAGUCAGAAUGAUGGAAUAAUAAGCCUUUCUGAACAAAGUUAAAUCUUUAUACAAUGUGUCAAUCCUCCCUGGCCUAAAUUAUUGAUGUUUGUUUGUUUUUUCCGCUCUCUCAGGUUAACAGUGGCAUAGCUUGUUGGAAAGGGUAAGCCUUAAUUGUGUUUUAUUUAUUUUUAUGGUGGUUUUGCACUGAAUGGUAUCUGCAUCCAGUAGCACUACCUACUGUGGUGUUCAAUAUAUGGUGCAAUAUAAACUCAACAGGCAUCGUUGGUUUUCAAGCCUUUUUGUUUGUGAACCUGGUUUUUAUGUUGAUACAUUACAUUCUUAGCUGUGGUAUUGGGGGAGGCAGUUGGUCCACCUCUAUCAAAUAGUGAGGCAUAUCUUUAUUUAUAUUUUUUUUUUGUCCCUCUAUUUCAUUUAGCAUUUGGAUGUAAAUCUGAAAAUUUGAGACCCUUUCAUUAGCAAACUGCUCUGGUAAGUAUUGCUACUCUACUUGACUAUUACUGCAUUUUGUUAGUCAUACAUGACUAGAUUGUAAGCUUGCUUCAUGUACAGGAACAGUAGGUGAAAAGGGCAAUGGCCAAACAUUUUGUUGGCAUUGUCCUAAAACUGUGUACCACAAUUUCUCUCUUGAGGUCUAUCCCGAUGGGUCUUUGAUGUAGGACCAUAUCGUUGGAAAUGCCUCAGAAAUUAAUCUUGCAGUUUCGCUUUACCUGCUAACUUUAUCUUUAGUGGGAUAAAACUGCAUUACACGGAAUCCUUUUAUUUGAUUUUUUUUUUUUUUUUUUUCUGACAUAUCAAACUUGAGUUUUGUUCUUUUUUAGGUGACUCUUGUCCAGUUUCAGAAUUAGAGGCUUCAAAUGUUGAAGAUGUAACAUUUAAGAGGUAACUUUGCAAUUUGACUUUCAGAGCUAAAAGUGGAAUGUUGCUUUGAACAUGGCUUGGUAGCUUCUCAUUCUGGCCAUUUUGGGAGUUUAUGGAAUUCAGGUUAAUCACUGACCAGCAUCUGUUCCAUGAGUGGAACGACUGCUGCAGGUAGAUGGCAGCCAUACGGCAAUUGCCAUUAGUCUGCUUCAUUCAGUCUGCAUUUCAAAUCAGUUCAUAUGAUGAGAUUUCACUGUUCAACUGCUGUAUGACUGAAGUGUGAACUAACAUAAUGAACUUCUGACAAGAACUGACUUAAUUUAAGACUAUUGUCGGUGACCUUAUUCUAGCACACUUUGCUUUAAGAUGUAAGGUGGGUGGCAUAAUUUCUUUUAAAAUAUGAAGUAUUCUGUGAAGCUGGAGAUUUUGUAAACCUAAUUACCACUUGUAAAUUUCAUGUACUGCAUAAUGUUUUGUUUAAACUAGUUGCACAUUAACACUCACUCUUCCAUGUCUUAGGUGAAAGCUAUCCAUUAAACAGAAGAUGAGGUGAGUGGUCUUUCAGCCUUCUGCACUGAAUGGUAUCUGCACCCAAUGGCAACUUCCUGUUGUGGUGUUCAUUACGCAGUGCAAGAGAAACUCAGCAACUGGCAUCGUUGGUUUUCAGACCUCUUGUGUCUGUGAGCCUGGUUUUUAUGCUGUGACAUUAAUUUCUAUUUCUAAGGCCUGUGAAGGAAUAACAACUUGUUUUUUUUAAUUUUAGGUAAUGCAUCAGAAUCCCUGUUUGAAGGUAAACAAUUUUUAUUUUUUUAUUAGAAUGCUUGCUUAUUGUAAACUAUAAAAUCUGGUAAUGUAAAUGUGGUCAUUACCAAAGCUUCUAUGAACUUCAGUUUCUAGUUCGCUGUGGACAUGACCAAAAAGCAAAUGUCACUUGGCUUUCUGAUGCUGUAGAUGUAUAUGGCUAAGCCUUUUGUCAUACAGUCUUGUAUGCACUUUUACUUUUUUGUAUGCUUGCCACUGCUCCAACCUGUGAGUGUAACUAAACAAGGUUUUUAACAUCCAUGUGCUUUAUUUCAGAAGCUGCCUUUUCACUGACAUGAGGUAAGAUUUGUGCUACAAAUAGUUAGUGCCCUGCUUUAAAACUGUCUGAAACCUUUAACAUGUUCACCUACACUGUAAUAGGGUCACUUCAAAGAGAACUUGUCUGGCUUUCAAACCACUUGUUCUUACGCGAUGACCCAAAAGCAUAAUCUUCUACAGGAUACUAUGGGCACUCUGUGGUGUGUACCAUGGUCUAUUUUAGAGGAGAUAUCCAUUUAAUUACAUGGCCUAUUAAAUUGCUAUAUUUACAAUUUGCUGAACUUUCAUCUUUAUUACAGGUUUAAAAGAAGGAAGUCCUGUUGUCUCCUUGCAAUGAACUACUGAAAUAAAGAUUUUAUAUACAAACUUGGCUACUGGUAUCUUUCGUCUCGUGCUGUUAAUUUUUCAAAGUAAAACAUACCACUCCUAGGGAGGGAAGAUAUGU